UAGCGCGGUGGUCCCACCUGACCCCAUGCCGAACUCAGAAGUGAAACGCCGUAGCGCCGAUGGUAGUGUGGGGUCUCCCCAUGCGAGAGUAGGGAACUGCCAGGUA
rnacentral:rRNA from 1 species